GAGCUACUCCCUCCGUCUAGAAAUACUUGUCAUAGGAAUGGAUGUACCUAGAUGUAUUUUAGUUCUAGAUACAUCCAUUUUCAUCCAUUUGUGCGACAAAUAAUUCUGGACGGAGGGAGUAUUAU
rnacentral:pre_miRNA from 1 species